UUAUCGAAUCAAUAUAUUCUGGCGAUCGCCGAAACAAUCACUGUCGAAUAAUUGCCAUUGAUGGUCCUGCUGGAGCAGGUAAAUCAACUUUGGCUACUCGAAUUCAGAAUGGUGUAGAUAAUUCAAAAGUCGCAGUGGUUCAUAUGGAUGAUCUUUAUGCGGGAUGGGAAAAUGCUCUCACAUCAACUCUUACUCGUACUUUAGAAAAUAAUAUUGCUGCCCCUGCAUUUGAAGGCAAAGCGUUUGAGUAUCGAAAAUAUGAUUGGAUUCAUAAUCGCUUCGGCGAGUAUCGUCGAAUUGAUGCGCCGGACCUACUGAUUCUCGAGGGGGUUGGCGCAGGACAAAAAGUCAUUCGCAAGUAUCUCGAUCAAUUAAUUUGGAUUGAUAUCGAACCUGAAAUUGGCUUAGCCCGUGUUUUACAGCGAGAUGGGGAUUACUUGGAAACUGAGAUGAGAGUUUGGCAAAUGCGUGAAAGCGAACACUUUCAGCGCGACAACACUCGCGAUUGUGCCACUAUCCGCAUCGAUGGGAAGCGCUUCAUCUAAAAUCUCUACGUGUCAGACUUAACCGGCGAAGUCAUUGAUGGGCGAUAUCAGCUCACUCGAAUAGUUGCUUCGGGCGGUAUGGCCACAAUCUAUGCAGCGCUAGAUUUGAGACUCGAUCGACACGUCGCAGUGAAAGUUAUGCAUCCUCACUUGGCGCAAGAUGAACAGUUUGUAACGCGAUUUAUUCGGGAAGCAAAAGCAGCAGCUUCUUUGUCACAUCCAAAUAUCGUCUCUGUUCUGGAUCAGGGCUGGAAUCAAGGUGGAGCACCAUGUGUCUUCAUCGUGAUGGAACUUGUUGAAGGUGCAACGCUGCGAGAUUAUUUGCAUGAGCAUGGUGCGCUCUCUGUGGAACGGGCGCUACAAAUCAUGACACCUGUUGCAAGUGCACUUGCUGCUGCCCAUAAAUUAGGAAUCGUUCAUCGCGAUAUCAAGCCUGAAAAUAUUCUGGUAUCUACCGAAGGUCGGAUAAAGAUUGCAGACUUUGGUUUGGCACGCGGUGCCUUAUUGGGAAAUACCAUGACCGCAGAAUCAAGUGUGAUUUUAGGCAGUGUCUCUUACCUCUCCCAGUCACGAUACCGUCCCCCCCCCCUGGGUUAGUCGGGAGCUAAGCCGAGGCCGUAAGGAGUAGGCGAUGCACAUCAGGUUAAUAUUCCUGAACCAAGUAGAGAGGACGGGAUCAUGGAGUCAGCAGACCUUAUUGACUUGGCAGUCCGAGGCUACGGCCGAGGACGCGCUGAUGAAGUGAUCUCCAGGAAAAGCCUCUACAUUAGCCCGUACCGCAAACCGACACAGGUAUCCGGGAUGAGUGUUCUAAGGCGCGUGAGUUAAACCUCCUCAAGGAACUCGACAAAUUAACCCCGUAUCUUCGGUAUAAGGGGUGCUCCGGGCAACCGGAGUCGCAGUGAAGAGGCCCUACCGACUGUUUAGCAAAAACACAGCUCUCUGCUAAGUCGCAAGACGACGUAUAGGGAGUGACGUGUGACCAAUGCGGAAAGGUGAAAGCUGGAGCUGCAAGGUUCCGGUCUAAGCCCCCGUGAAUGUCGGCCGUAACUAUAACGGUCCUAAGGUAGCGAAAUUCCUUGUCGGGUAAGUUCCGACCUGCACGAAUCACGUAACGAGUAGGGCAUUGUCUCGAGGAGGGGCUCAGUGAAAUUGUAGUCGCGGUGAAGAUGCCGCGUUCCCGCAGCAGGACGGAAAGACCCUAUAGACCUUUACUGUAACCUGGUAUUGGCGCUUGAGAUGUGAUUCGUAGAAUAGCUGGGAGACUUCGAAGUCCGACCUCAGGGUCGGAUGGAGUCGCAAUAUGAAAUACCAGUAUUCAUUUCUUAGGCUUCUAACCCAUAUUCCAUCAGCUGGAGUGGGGACAUUGCUAGGGGGUCAGUUUGACUGGGGCGGUCUCCUCCGAAAGAGUAACGGAGGAUUGUGAAGGUCAGCUCAGGCCGGUUGGUAAUCGGCCGUCGAGUGCAUGGAUAUAAGCUGGCUUAACUGCGAGACCUACAAGUCGAGCAGGUACGAAAGUAGACCCAAGUGAUCCGGUGACGCAUCGUGGGAUGCUCAUCGCUUAAAGGAUAAAAGGUACCUUAGGGAUAACAGGCUGAUAACGCCCAAGCGUUCAUAGCGACGGCGUUGUUUGGCACCUCGAUGUCGGCUCAUCACAUCCUGGGGCUGGAGAAGGUCCCAAGGGUUCGGCUGUUCGCCGAUUAAAGUGGUACGCGAGCUGGGUUCAGAACGUCGUGAGACAGUUCGGUCCUCUAUCCGCUGUGGGCGCAGGAGAUUUGAGGGGUUCAUUUGUUAGUACGAGAGGACCGCAAAUGACAUGCCUCUGGUGUUCCGGUUGUCACGUCCGUGGCACCGCCGGGUAGCUAAGCAUGGAACGGAUAAGCGCUGAAAGCAUCUAAGCGCCAAGCCUUUCCCAAGAUAAGAUCUCCCUAUAGAACCCAGGUAGACCACCUGGUUGAUAGGCCGCCGGUGUAAGCGUAGCGAUACGUUGAGCCUAGCGGUACUAAUGUCCGAUUGAUCUGC
rnacentral:rRNA from 1 species